AAAUUGAAGAGUUUGAUCAUGGCUCAGAUUGAACGCUGGCGGCAGGCCUAACACAUGCAAGUCGAACGGUAACAGGAAGCAGCUUGCUGCUUUGCUGACGAGUGGCGGACGGGUGAGUAAUGUCUGGGAAACUGCCCGAUGGAGGGGGAUAACUACUGGAAACGGUAGCUAAUACCGCAUAAUGUCGCAAGACCAAAGAGGGGGACCUUCGGGCCUCUUG
rnacentral:rRNA from 1 species